rnacentral:lncRNA from 1 species
AAACGAUAUCUGGGAAUUGUUGAGUGUGGAGAGUCCCUAUUCACUCUAAGUGCUGCCAUGGCUUUUUGACAACUGUAUUGCAGUUUCCCAAUGAGUGGACCUACCUUACAGCAACUACUUGCAGGCUUUCAGGGUUCACGUUUGUUGCUGUUCAGCCCGGUGGUGAGUGGAGGCUGUGGAGCCAUGCAGUACAAGAGUGUGGGAUGAGGCCCUCUGGGCAAGUACUGGCAGAUGGACGUUGCCUUCAGGUGGCAUCGUGCACCCAUGUAACCAAAUGUCUGCUGGAGGAGAUGAAUAUUUUGUCAUCUCAGUACUGUAUGAAUGUGAAGCAUGGAGUUGAAUAGGAGCAUCAAGAAAGUGAAAUCUGCUUGAUAGGCAACAGAAUAAUGAUUGGACCUGAAGGGUAAGUAUAAUUUACUUUGGAAAAUGAAGUGGAC